GCCUCCAUCGUCUAGGGGACUAGGACGCAGCCCUUUCAAGGCUAAAACGGGAGUUCGAAUCUCCCUGGAGGUACCA
rnacentral:tRNA from 1 species